GAUGAACGCUGGCGGCGUGCCUAAUACAUGCGAGUCGAGCGAACAGACGAGGAGCUUGCUCCUCUGACGUUAGCGGCGGACGGGUGAGUAACACGUGGAUAACCUACCUAUAAGACUGGGAUAACUUCGGGAAACCGGAGCUAAUACCGGAUAAUAUAUUGAACCGCAUGGUUCAAUAGUGAAAGACGGUUUUGCUGUCACUUAUAGAUGGAUCCGCGCCGCAUUAGCUAGUUGGUAAGGUAACGGCUUACCAAGGCAACGAUGCGUAGCCGACCUGAGAGGGUGAUCGGCCACACUGGAACUGAGACACGGUCCAGACUCCUACGGGAGGCAGCAGUAGGGAAUCUUCCGCAAUAGGCGAAAGCUUGACGGAGCAACGCCGCGUGAGUGAUGAAGGUCUUCGGAUCGUAAAACUCUGUUAUUAGGGAAGAACAAAUGUGUAAGUAACUAUGCACGUCUUGACGGUACCUAAUCAGAAAGCCACGGCUAACUACGUG
rnacentral:rRNA from 1 species